AGUAUUUAGAAGUUAAUAGUAACUGAACUUAGGUUCCAGUCAAUCACUAACCAUGAGGACUCUCCACUUGGUGUUUUUGGUGCUUUUUGUAAUGUUCUCCUACACUGGUAUUAAGUAUACAUUUGGUGGUUUCAGAGGGGUUGAUGAUGUGGAAACUACCCUGUGUCGGAAGCAGAAUGGUUUAUGUCUUAAAACUUGCCCAGAAACUCUCCAGAAAAAAGGCACCUGUUUAGCUGG
rnacentral:lncRNA from 1 species